rnacentral:rRNA from 1 species
GACGAACGCUGGCGGCGUGCCUAAUACAUGCAAGUAGAACGCUGAAGGAGGAGCUUGCUUCUCUGGAUGAGUUGCGAACGGGUGAGUAACGCGUAGGUAACCUGCCUGGUAGCGGGGGAUAACUAUUGGAAACGAUAGCUAAUACCGCAUAAGAGUAGAUGUUGCAUGACAUUUGCUUAAAAGGUGCAAUUGCAUCACUACCAGAUGGACCUGCGUUGUAUUAGCUAGUUGGUGGGGUAACGGCUCACCAAGGCGACGAUACAUAGCCGACCUGAGAGGGUGAUCGGCCACACUGGGACUGAGACACGGCCCAGACUCCUACGGGAGGCAGCAGUAGGGAAUCUUCGGCAAUGGACGGAAGUCUGACCGAGCAACGCCGCGUGAGUGAAGAAGGUUUUCGGAUCGUAAAGCUCUGUUGUAAGAGAGGAACGAGUGUGAGAGUGGAAAGUUCACACUGUGACGGUAUCUUACCAGAAAGGGACGGCCAACUACGUGCCAGCAGCCGCGGUAAUACGUAGGUGGCAAGCGUUAUCCGGAUUUAUUGGGCGUAAAGAGAGUGCAGGCGGUUUUCUAAGUCUGAUGUGAAAGCCUUCGGCUUAGCCGGAGGAGUGCAUCGAAAACUGGAGAACUUGAGUGCAAAGAGGGUAGUGGACUCCCUGUGUAGCAGGGAAUGACGUCAAAAUAGAAGAACGCCAGUGGGAGGCGGCUGCCUAGUCUGUACUGACACUGAAAGCGAUGAGAGGGGUACGAACAG